rnacentral:rRNA from 1 species
AUUGAACGCUGGCGGCAUGCCUUACACAUGCAAGUCGAACGGCAGCGCGGGAGCAAUCCUGGCGGCGAGUGGCGAACGGGUGAGUAAUAUAUCGGAACGUGCCCUGUAGCGGGGGAUAGCCCGGCGAAAGCCGGAUUAAUACCGCAUACGCUCUACGGAGGAAAGCGGGGGUCGCAAGACCUCGCACUAUAGGAGCGGCCGAUAUCGGAUUAGCUAGUUGGCGGGGAAAAGCCCACCAAGGCGACGAUCCGUAGCUGGUCUGAGAGGAUGAUCAGCCACACUGGAACUGAGAUACGGCCCAGACUCCUACGGGAGGCAGCAGUUAGGAAAUUUUCCCAAUGGGCGCAAGCCUGAGGGAGUAACGCCGCGUGGAGGAUGACGGCUUUCGGGUUGUAA